CAACCCAAGUGUGCAUAUGUUUUUCUUUGAUAAUUAUUUUAUUUUGCUACAUGCUUGGUAAACUGCAAUCGUGCCCAAUAUUUUUGCCUUUGCAUUUUAGGUCUACUCUUAGUUGAUCUAUACCUGAUCCUGUGUUUUAAAGUGAUCUGCUUUCACAGCUACAUUUCUGUGUUCUUUUCCGUUGGUCUAUGGUUCUGAAUUGAGGCAAGUAUAUCUAUUAUGCUAUUUCACUAAGUACUAUAGGGAAAAGAAUAACUGAAGUUGAUUGAGAUCUAUUCUGAUUCUCCUGAUAUCCAUCUCAACAGGUUUUUAUUUGCUUUUCAACAUCCAUUUCAUAGUGGUACAUGUGGCUUUGAUUAAUAUUACCAUAAAGACUGCCAAAAAUGGGUGUGGUACGGAAACCCAGAAAUGGCAUGAGUUCAACAUCAAACAUGGAUUAGAAUUUUAGCGGGGGAUCAAGUCAAGUCUGGAAGUGUUACAGGAUGGAAGAGUGAGCCUACAGUUGAAAAAACACAGAGUACAUUACCAUUAAGCAAUCCUUCAUAGUUCUGUCACAGCUAGAAGCCUCAAAUAAUUCUGCUUCUCUUGCUAAAGAACAGCUUGUCCUUUACGUUCAGAGUGUUUGUGAAGCUGGGUACUUAAAUGGCCCUAAUGAUGUUUCACUUUGCUGGCAUUGCAGCGGUGAACAUCAUACAUGGACUCUUUAGGAAAGGAUUUUCAGCAUACUGGGAACACAACUAUCGACAAUGCAACAUUCUACAGGUUAAUAGUAACAUUGGAUCUGAAAAAAUUCUUGGUUGGGGCAAGACACUGAAUAAAUUGUAUUGAUUGGAUGGAUGACAUGACAUUUCUAUACUUAAUUCGGAUUCCCCAGACGGUAUUUGAUAUUAAAAAAAUUGAAGUGCAUAUCUGGGCUCCCUUCUUUUCUGAAGCCCCGUUUCCCCUUGACUCGUAAUAAGCCCGUAGGGGGUCAUGCCCCUACU